rnacentral:tRNA from 3 species
UGCUAUGGCUCAGUAGGUAGAGCACAUCCUUGGUAAGGAUGAGGUCACCGGUUCAAAUCCGGUUAGC